UACGUAGGUGGCAAGCGUUGUCCGGAUUUACUGGGCGUAAAGGGCGUGCAGGCGGUUUGUUAAGUCUAGGGUGAAAGCUCCCGGCUCAACUGGGAGAGGUCCUUGGAUACUGGCGAACUUGAGGGAUGCAGAGGAAAGUGGAAUUCCCGGUGUAGUGGUGAUAUGCGUAGACAUCGGGAGGAACACCAGUGGCGAAGGCGGCUUUCUGGGCAUUUCCUGACGCUGAGACGCGAAAGCGUGGGGAGCGAACCGG
rnacentral:rRNA from 1 species